AUGAAAUAUACACAAACGAAAAGGAAAAAGAAAGAAAAAUGGUUCCUUAACCUUACUCUGUUCUGGACUGUAGAAACAGAGAAAGAAAGAAGAAGAAGAAGAAGAAUGAAAAAAAACGUGAAGAACUGAAGAAGAAAGAGAAGAAAUUACCUGGUCGAGCCGCGAGAAGAAUUGAAGAAGGGCUUCGAGGUCGACUGGUCGAGAACUCGAGCGACUGAAGAAGAAGAAGAUGGAACCCUAGCUUUUGUUUUUGUUCGAGCCUCUGUUUUUUGUCGAAGAAGCUGUUCGUGAAGGGGAUUGUCGAUUUAGGGUCUGUUUUGUCUCAGACCCAAAGUUUUUUUUUAAAAAAAAGGCCCCAUGCGUUUUUUUCACAAAAGCGAUCGCUUCAUCACUUUCUCCGCUGCCUCGCUUCAUCGCGUUUUCCAGUGAAGCGUGCGCUUCUACAGAUCGAGUCGCCCGUCGCUUCGCGCUUUAAGCGACAAAGCACGCGCUUUUCAAAACACUGGGCUCGCGACUCAUCAAUCAAAACAAUGGAUUGAUCAAAUAGCAUAAUAACGUGUAUGCAUGUGCGAAGUGUACAAAUAUUGCUCAAAUUAGGCGUUUACGCCGUAGUACCAAGAUUUAGAGAAUAAUAACAAAACAAGGGGGAAUAAUGAAGAUAACCAAGAGAAUUACGAUAAAAUCUGCAGCCUUAGAAUUUCACUAAGAAGGUAUGCCUGAUUAUUGGGCUUCAACGGCUCACUCAACCUAUUACCAAAUCAAAGGCCUUUGUCUUAGAUUAAUUUAUAAGCUUCUGGUAAUCACUUGCAGUGAGUAAUCAUUUCCUCUGUGAUUUGUUAUUAUUUCUACACGGUGUAAGGAUCAACCACCAUAUUUAGAAAAGUAAAGAACAAGAGAGGGUUUUAGAAGGUAAACAUUUUUUAUUUCACACUGGAUAAAUCUAGGGAGAGAAUUCGAUGAUCCUCCUAAGCUCUAAAGGUCUCCUUUUAUAGGUGAAGGAGAUAACUCCAUAAAAGUAAUACAAUCCAUGACCUUAUUGCUUACUUCAGAGAGCAAUAAUGGUCGAUAAGGACCGACAAAGACUUAAAGUAAAAGACUCAAUAAUACAACUCAAUAAUACAGCUGUGACCUCAUUGCUUACAUUGAAGAGCAAUAAGGACUGACAAAGAAAUACAAGGGGCGGGGUCCCUAUGGCUAUGCCUCUCAAUUAUUUCACAAGACUCCAAAAAACUUUAAAAGCUGAAGAUAACUUAAAGUAAAGCCACCAAAAAGUUAUAAAGUAAAAGUAGCUUUAGGCUAAUAAUUCAUAAAGAGACGAGAUAAGAAAUCUUCUUGCUUAGAUGUAGACUUCAGUAGACCCAUCAGAUGUCCAUGAUGGUGUGGAUGGUUUUGUGGUGUAUCCUUCUUCAAUCCAUGAUCCACCCGUCUUCGCCAUGAAGACACUUGUACCUAUUUUUAUUUAUUUGCCUUCGCUUUUCUGACCUUUCCACUUGUUUUUCUUUUCUUUUUGGAGAAUCUUCUUUUUCCUUUUCAAAACAUUCUGUAGCUUUUAUGCGGGCCAUCAUUUAUGCUUCUUCAGAAUUGGUUCUGUGAGCUUGUGCUAAAGGCAGAGUAUCAAUUUUUAUACUUGGAGGUUAACAAAGAUGAUGCAGAAGGCAUGACUGCAGAACCCAUCCUUGAAAGUAGGCCAGAAAUCACACCACCAAGGAUGGUGGGUACGGGAUUUCAUACUUUCACUUUGGAUGAUCUUCCCAUCCAAAAAUGGCCAGAAAGAAUCCAAGAUUUUUAUACUUGGAUGUUAACAAAGCAGUUGGUCGAAAGAGAACCUUUUAUAAUCUUGUCAGAAUUCACAGCAAGAUUAUCUGGAACACUCCGUGAAUGGUGGGCAUUGGUUGGAACGACAGAUACGAAUAAUUUCCUUACUUCCCAAAAUCUUUCUUGGAAUAUAGGAAUAAUUUAUUCUUAUGUCUGUGGAACAGAACAAAGAAGAUCUAAGAAAACAGAUCUUUGAAAUAAAGUGUCAAUCCUAUGACAGAAAAAGAUUGAUCAUCAUCUCCAAAAGAUGAUCAAGUUAUUCUAUCAUAUUGGCGGAGACAUUUCUCUGAAACAAGCUUUCAUCUCUUCACUCGCACCAAUACUAUCUGAAAGAAUCUCAACCUUAUUAAAGGAGCGUGGUACAUCUGCUACUGCCAUGAAUGUUGGUGACAUAAGGCAAGCUGUUUUUUAUGUGCUAGAUGACCUUUGCAGCAAAAGGCAAUUCUUCAACCAAAUGAAGAAGAUGUCUCGAGAUUUGAACAAGGCAGGCAGCAAAGCUGAUCUCAUCACAAAGGACAAAGGUUGCACAUAUUGCAACACACACAGAAGAAGGAAGUUUAAACGAUUCAAACUUCCUCGACACAAGGAAAGGGAGGGACAUAUGUUCAGAAAAAGAAAGAAAUAUUUCAGGCAGAGCAAAACAAACAGGUUUGUAAGAACAAAGCCUAAUUCAUGUUUCACAUGCGGGAAAAUAGGUCACUUUGCAAAGAACUGUCCUCGAAACAGAAAAUCUAUCAGGUUAAUCUCCGAAAUCCAAAAAUACAUGGGUGUUGAGAUUGACGAUGAUUUAGAAUCAGUAUUUUCACUGGAGGAAGAGCCAAGUGAAGAUACUCGGUUUUCACUAGAAAUCUAUGAAGAAUAUGGAAAUCAUAUGUACCAUAUUUCUCAUAUUGAUGGGCCAGAAGCUGAUGCAACAGACGAUGCUACUGUAAAUCAAUCAGAUUCGGAAGAAGGAAUUUUCAGUAUCACCACAGUUCCUCAAACAGAGGUAAAAGUGUGUCCUAUGAAAUGGGAUAAACCUAUCUCCGUAAUAGCCUUCUAUGAUACCGGAGCAGCAUACUCGAUCAUGGAUCCGUCCAUACUCCCAGAAGAAUGUUGGAUACCCCAUUUCAGAAACUUUGGAACAGCAUCCCAAGGAGUCUUGACAACAACUGUUAAAACAAGACACCCAAUCACAAUUGAAUUCUUUCCGGGACUCAAAAUCAGGUCAAACAUCCUUGGAUCCGAUAUUCCUGGAAAAGAUUUGAUCGUUGCCUUUGAUCUAUACAGUAAACUCAAGAACAAACUCCUAGUUGGAGCUGACGGGAUCAGAUUCAAAAACUAGUUCAAUGAAUAUGGCAACAUCUCCGGACUAUUCCAAGUCACUGAAGAUGACCAACUCAUGCAGAUUGGUGAGCAAAUCAAGCAACAACUCUGUGCAGAAUCUCAUAUAGACUUCCUCAAAAGGUGUGGCACUCCUCUAUGGAAAAAAUGAAGAAUUCUACAUCAAUCUGCCAUUCAAGAAGAAUGAGAACAUCAACCCCACAAGGGCAAGGCAUUCUGGAAUGAUCUAAGAACAUUUGAAACUGCAAUAAGGAAUGUGAAGAACUACUCAACUUUGGCUUAAUUGAACUAACAGACUCACAGUGGGCAUGUGAUGUCAACAAAAGAUCAGAACAGAUCAGAGGAAAGCUGAGAGUGGUAAUCAAUUAUCAACCUCUAAACUACUUUCUGCAAGAUGAUAAGUUUCCCAUUCCAAAUAAGCUUACCUUAUUUUCACACCUCGCCAAAGCCAAGAUAUUUUCCAAUUUUGACCUAAAAUCAGGUUUCUGGCAACUCGGAGUUCAUCCAGAUGAAAGAUCAAAAAUCGGGUUUUGCAUACUGGACCACCACUUCCAAUGGAAAGUAAUGCUUUUUGGUUUAAAGACAGCACAAUCCUUAUUCCAGAAAGCCAUGAUCAAAAUAUUCCAACCUAUUCUUAACUCAGCGUUGGUUGAUAUUGAUGAUAUUCUCUUAUUCAGUAAUUCCAUUGAAGAACAUUUCAAAUUACUUAAUUAGUUCAUAGAAUUGGUUAAAAAAAUUGGUAUUAUGCUAUCAGCAAAAAAAAUGAUUCUUGCACAGGAAAAGAUUGAGUUCUUGGGAAUGAAAUUCACCCAAGGUUCUUUCAGUCCAGGCCCCCAUAUAUUAAGAGAGCUUCUCAAAUUUCCAGAUACAAGUCUCUCAGCCAAGCAGAUCUAGCAAUUCUUAGGGAUUGUCAAUUAUGUUCGAGAUUUUAUUCAAGAAGUCUCUAAAUAUAUUACUCCUCUUAGAAAUAUGUUGAAGAAAAAACCACCAGCUUGGGGCAAGGAACAAGAUGAUGCGGUCAAACAGCUGAAACACGUAUCUCAGCAACCCAAAAAACUCCACAUCCCAGACGGGAAGAAGGUGUUGCAAACAGAUGCAAGUGAUCAAUACUGGAGUGCAACACUAUUAGAGGAACAUGAAGGAAAGCGAAAAAAUUGUGGAUAUGCGAGUGAAAAAUUCAAAGAUGCUGAACACUACCAUUCCACCUUCAAAGAAAUUCUUGCUGUCAAAAUGGGAAUAAAGAAGUUCAAUUUCUUUCUGAUCCAUACAGAAUUUCUCGUUGAAAUGGACAUGAAGGCAUUUCCACAGAUGAUACAGAUCAAUCCAAAGAUCAUCCCCAAUUCUCAAAUUCUCAGAUGGGCUCAAUGGUUUUUACUAUACAAGUUCGAGGUCAAGCAUCUAAAGGGCAAAGACAAUAUUCUUGCCGAUUUCUUAUCUAGACCCCGUGAAUUUUCUCAAAGGUUCAAGAAGAAGGUACCACCAAAAGUCUUUAUGUACCAGGGCAGAACGAGAUCUAGUUCAAAAACUUCAAAAUCCAGCACAAGUACAAAAGCAAAUCACCAAGGUUCUAGCUCGAGUCAGCAAUCCUCCAUUAACAUUCCAGAAAAUCCCCCAGAAAUACAGGAUUUAUCAUAUCCUUGGGAUACAUCAGUCUGAGACUCCUUGAAAGAAGGACCCAUUAUGAGCUAGAAGUUUUCAGAAAGUAUGGAGGCUCCAUACUAAAGCCAUUUGGAGUAAAUCCAGAGUAUCCAUUUGCCCAUAUCUUUGUGGCAAAUCCCCAAGAAUUCCCGGAAGAAUUAUUAUGGAUGUUCUGGUAUUUACUAAAUCAUUAUCACAUUCUUAUGGAGUUUAAAAGCGGCAAAUUCAGGAAAUUCCACCGGCUGAAUCCCUGAAUACAAAAAUUCUUAUUAUGGUUCAACAAUCAUAAUUAUUGGAUUUCGCUAUUCAAAAACAUUCCUGGCUUAAAGAAAUAUGUUACUAUGUGGUUCCACAUGGUCAUAUUCAUCAAGAAAAGUCUUUUCCUCUACCACAUUUGAGCAUACUAAAAUGGAAUAGAGUUUCUAUUCUUGACAACGAUGAAGAAUACUCUGAGCUACAACGCUUUAUCUUUCAGGAAAACAAAUGUAUUCCUAAAGAGAUAUGGCCAGGACCAUUAGCCAGUUGGAAUUAUUCUACUACAUGCAUGGGUCGUCCUCUCAUUAUCAGUGGAUUAAAGAUGCAAUGAAGGAGUACCAUGAGAAUGAUGUGAUAUGGAACCAAGAUGCCCAAGAUCCUUAUUCCGCUGACUCAAAAAUUGAGUUAAGCCAAUAUGAAAUUGAUACUGUGCCUUUAGCACAAGCUCACAGAACCAGUUCUGAAGAAGCAGAAAUGAUGGCCCGCAUAAAAGCUACAGAAUGUUUUGAAAAGGCAAAAGAAGAUUCUCCAAAAAGAAAAGGAAAACUAGUGGAAAGGUCAAAAAAGUGAAGGCAGAAAAACAGGUACAAGUGCCUUCAUGGCGAAGACUGGUGGAUCGUGGAUUGAAGAAGGAUACACCACAAAACCAUCAACACCAUCAUGGACAUCUGGUGGGUCUACCGAAGUCUACAUCUAAGCAAGAAGAUUUCUUAUCAUUAAGAAGUCUCGUUUCUUUAUGAAUUAUUAGCCUAAAGCUACUUUUAUUUUAUGACUUUUUGGUGGCUUUACUUUAAGUCAUCUUUAGCUUUUAAAGUUUUUUGGAGUCUUGUGAAAUAAUUGAGAGGCAUAGGGACCCCACCCCUUGUCUUUCUUUAUCAGUCCUUAUUGCUCUUCAAUGUAAGCAAUGAGGUCACAACUGUAUUAUUGAGUCUUUUACUUUUAAGUUUUUGUCAGUCCUUAUCGACCAUUAUUGCUCUCUGAAGUAAGCAAUAAGGUCAUGGAUUGUAUUACUUUUAUGGAGUCAUCUCCUUCACCUAUAAAUGGAAACCUUUAGAGCUCAGGAAGAUCAUCGAAUUCUCUCCCUGUAAAGUAUCAAGUGUGAAAUAAAAAAUGUUUGCCUUCUAAAACCCUCUCUUGUUCUUUACUUUUCUAAAUAUGAUGGUUGAUCCUUACACUGUGUAAAAAUAAUAACAAAUCAUAGAGGAAAUGAUUACUCACUAUGAGUGAUUACCAGAAGCUUAUGAAUUAAUCUAAGACAAAGGCCUUUGAUUUGGUUAUAGGCUGAGUGAGCCGUUGAAGCCCAGUAAUCAGGCAUACCUUCUUAGUGAAAUUCUAAGGCUGCAAGUUUUCUCGUAAUUUUCCUGUUGACACUUCAUUUCAAAGAUCAGUUUUCUUAGAUCUUCUUUGUUGUGACUUUGACUUCCACAGAAAUAAGAAUGAAUUAUUCCUAUGUUUCAAGAAAGAUCUUGGGAAGUAAGGAAAUUAUUCUUAUCUGUCAUGCGGCAAAGCUGAUCUCAUCACAAAGGACAAAGGUUGCACAGCUUGCAACACACACAAAAGAAGGAAGUUUAAACGAUUCAAACUUCCUCGACACAGGAAAGGGAGGGACGCAUGUUCAGAAAAAGAAAGAAAUAUUUCAGGCAGCGCAAAACAAACAGGGCAAGGUGAGGCAGAAGUUAUCUUCAGGGGGAAAAUAUGUAUCAGUGAACAUUGGGCCAAUUCAAGUUGUUUCUAGUGAGCAGGUUCAAGCUGUAUACAACGCCAUGAGAAAAGAUGACAGGAUGAAAUACUUUUUGUAAAUGACUUUCUUCUGUAACCUUUGUAUAGAAUUGAAUUACCUAGGCAUUAUGAUGAUUCACGCUUUUCCUUUCACCUUUUUUUCCCCUUAAUAUGUCCUAGUAUUUAUUAUUGUAAUUAAAUGUUCUUUGAUUAAUUACGAAAUAAUUUUAGCCUUAAAUUGAGUAGAAUCUUUAAAAGAUCAUGAGAUUUAUAUAGUUGUCGGACUCUUUAGUCAAUAGUGAUCUCUGCUUCUUAGCAGGGCUGACAGGAAGUAUCCUUUCGUUUCA